GAUGCAGAACGCAGCGAAAUGCGAUACGUAAUGUGAAUUGCAGAAUUCAGUGAAUCAUCGAGUCUUUGAACGCACAUUGCGCCCCCUGGUAUUCCGGGGGGCAUGCCUGUCCGAGCGUCGUUGCUGCCCUCAAGCACGGCUUGUGUGUUGGGCCUCCGUCCUCCUCCCGGGGGACGGGCCCGAAAGGCAGCGGCGGCACCGCGUCCGGUCCUCGAGCGUAUGGGGCUUCGUCACCCGCUCUUGUAGGCCCGGCCGGCGCUUGCCGACACAUCAAUCUUUUUUCCAGGUUGACCUCGGAUCAGGUAGGGAUACCCGCUGAACUUAAGCAUAUCAAUAAGCGGAGGA
rnacentral:misc_RNA from 1 species